rnacentral:rRNA from 1 species
CCUACGGGAGGCUGCAGUGGGGAAUAUUGGACAAUGGGGGCAACCCUGAUCCAGCCAUGCCGCGUGUGUGAAGAAGGCCCUCGGGUUGUAAAGCACUUUCAGUGAGGAAGAACGCCUGGUGGUUAAUACCCAUCAGGAAAGACAUCACUCACAGAAGAAGCACCGGCUAACUCCGUGCCAGCAGUCGCGGUAAUACGGAGGGUGCGAGCGUUAAUCGGAAUUACUGGGCGUAAAGCGCGCGUAGGUGGCUUGAUAAGCCGGUUGUGAAAGCCCCGGGCUCAACCUGGGAACGGCAUCCGGAACUGUCAAGCUAGAGUGUAGGAGAGGAAGGUAGAAUUCCCGGUGUAGCGGUGAAAUGCGUAGAGAUCGGGAGGAAUACCAGUGGCGAAGGCGGCCUUCUGGACUGACACUGACACUGAGGUGCGAAAGCGUGGGUAGCAAACAGGAUUAGAUACCCGAGUAGUC